rnacentral:rRNA from 1 species
CAGACUUGUUUAUAGGGUUCAGCCGUCGUUCUCGUCGGUGUAUUUCCCUAUUAUCAGGCCAGCAUCAGUUUGGGUGGAAGGUUAAAGGCCUUGGGAAUGUGACAUCCUCCGGGUUGUUUUAUAGCCCUUGGUGUAAUGCUUCCUACCUAGACUGAGGCACGCGUUCGCUAGGAUGCUGGCGUAAUGGCUUUAAGCGACCGUCUUGAAACACGGACCAAGGAGUCUAACAUAUAUGCGAGUGUU